UACGUAGGGGGCAAGCGUUUGUCCGGGAAUCAUUGGGCGUAAAGAGCGUGUAGGCGGCUCGAUAAGUCCGCUCUGAAAGCCCGGGCUCACCCCGGGAGGCGGGCGGAUACUGUCGAGCUAGAGUCCGGAAGAGGCGAGUGGAAUUCCCUGGUGUAGCGGUGAAAUGCGCAGAUAUCAGGAGGAACACCAAUGGCGAAGGCAGCUCGCUGGGACGGUACUGACGCUGAGACGCGAAAGCGUGGGGAGCAAACAGG
rnacentral:rRNA from 1 species